UAAAUAAACAAAAAUUAAAAUAUGGGUUCUCAUUCCCUAAUGAACACCCUUCCCGUCCCCAGCCUUUUGUCUGAAGUGGGAAGGGAGAAUCUACCAGGUCCAGAAGCUGUCCAGGUGAGACCACGGAAACUCUGGAACCACAGGACUGCAAGCCUGCUUGCCUGGGUGGGAGCGGAAUCUAGACACAGGCGGGAUUGAGGCUGCGUUUGUGUCUUCACAUAAACCCGCCUGCAAGGCCCAGUCAGCGCUGCCACUAAGCAGGAAGCCUCCAGCUCCCUUUCUCGGUCUGCACUGGACAUGCUAGAACUAGAAACUUCUGAAAGCCCAUGAAAGGGUGUAUUUUCAACAGUGAUGGUGGAGGAUUCCAGAUUUAGCCACAUAAUGUCAACUGGUUCCUUUCCUUACCAACAAGAAGGCAUACUCAGGCAAAAAUAAAGAAUGCUACAAGACAGACACCAUUAAGAAGAUGAGAAAUGAAGAAUUAGCUAAAGGUGGCAAAAUGGGAGCAAUAGGAAAUGUACACGGUAAGGUAAUCAUGUAUAUAAUUUUGAAGUUGUCACUUAAAAUAUAAACUUUCACUCUAUGUACAACAUCUGCAAUCUUGACAAUUAUGUAGCGGAUGGGGUGUUAUGCUGCCGAGUCCCCCCCCCUUU